UAGAAGAAAUGUGAUCACUUUCAGAACUAGUGGUUUUGAAGCUAAAAAUUUAUAGUGCUUCCCCAUGCCCUCCCUUAUCCUCAUCUAUUCAGAUCAUGUUAACAUCUAAGAUACCAACUUAUGAGUCUUCUAGGAGAAAUGACCAGGAAAAUUGUGUUUUUGCUUUGGUUGGUAAAGCAUGGUAAUGUCAUCUGUGCAGGAUACCAUGAGUCACAUGGCAGUGUUUUGAGCACGUGACAUCACUGCUGAGAGUGCGCCAGGAGGGAACACGCAGACCUGAGUGAAGGCGAGGCGGAGAGCCUACAGUGUGCCUGCUGAGGCUCGUGCAGGUGUGGAAUUCCUGCAAAGUCUCUUAUUUAUUUAUUUAUUUAUUUAUUCAUUCGUUUAUUUUUAUUUUUGGCUGCAUUGGGUCUUCGUUGGUGCAUGUGGGCUUUUCUUUAGUUGCGGCGAGUGGGGCCCACUCCUCAUUGUAGUGCGUGGGCUUCUCAUUGCUGUGUCUUCUCCCGUUGCAGAUCAUGGGCUCCAGGUACAUGGGCCUCAGCAGUUGUGGCACACAGGCUCAGUAGUUGUGGCCUGCGGGCUCUAGAGCACAGGCUCAGUAGUUGUGGCGCAUGGGCUUAGUUGCUCCACGGCAUGUGGGAUCUUCCCAGACCAGGGCCCGAACCUGUGUCCCCUGCAUUGGCAGACGGAUUCUUAACCACUGAGCCACGAGGGAAGCCCCUUGCAAAGUCUCUUGUUUUACCUUAAACACGUGUGCAGAGUUUGCUUUCUCCUCCAUGAUAUGCACAGAAUUGUUUUAAUGUAAAAAUUCUCACAAAUCUUUGAGUACGAUCUGGUGCUCUGUGUAUUCUAUAACCUCUUAUUAUAUCCCCUCCUUCCAGGGUAUGGCUCGCUCAUUUGGAAAGGACCAGGCAUAUAUCACUGAGAUUUUCUUUUUCUGUUUUUCCCCCAUCAUUACCUUGUUCUUCUGGUGGACAGGAGAUGUAGUGGUCUGAAUUGAGACUGGAGAAACUGGCAAAUUAAAAUCACAUAAGUGUUUGACACCACAAUGAAAAUGAAAGGCUAUUUAUUGCUGGCAGAGAUUUGGGUAUUUGCAGUCAUCAGAAGUAUAAAAUAAUCUUUGCUGAUUCAGUCUACUUUCUACUGGGUUAGUCAAAAGGUUCGUUCGUUUUUUUUUUUUUUUUUUCGUAAGAUGGCUCUAGUAGCACCUAGUUGUCUUUAACUUCACUCAAAACAACUUUGUUAGAUAGUAUGUGACAGCUGUCGUAUAAGCGUGCAUUUAAAAAAGACAUUAAAUUGGUGAAUUUUUGUGUAGCCAUUUUAACAUUGAAGAUGGAAUUUUAAAAAAAGCAACAUUUUUGGCAUAUUAUGCUUUAUUAUUUCAAGAAAGGUAAAAACGCGACUGAAAUGCAAAAAAAAAAAGAUUUGUGCAGUGUAUGGAGAAGGUGCUGUGAUGGAUCAAGCAUGUCAAAAGUGGUUUGCCUUCGCAAAUCUCGUGCUGGAGAUUUCUCGCUGGACGAUGCUCCACAGUCAGGUAGACCAGUUGAAGUUGAUAGCAAUCAAAUCGAGACAUUAAUUGAGAACAAUCAACAUUAUACCACGCAGGAGAUAGCUGACACACUCAAAAUAUCCAAAUCAAGCGUUGAAAAUCAUUUGCACCAGCUUGGUUAUGUUAAUCGCUUUGAUGUUUGGGUUCCACAUAAGUUAAGCAAAAAAAAAAACCUUCUUGACCGUAUUUCUGCAUGCGAUUCUCUACUUAAACAUAGUGAAAAUGUUCCGUUUUUAAAACAAAUUGUGAUGGGCGAUGAAAAGUGGAUACUGUACAAUAAUGUGGAACGGAAGAGAUCGUGGAGCAAGCGAAAUGAACCACCACCAACCACACCAAAGGCCAGUCUUCAUCCAAAGAAGGUGAUGUUGUGUAUAUGGUGGGAUUGGAAGGGAGUCCUCUAUUAUGAGCUCCUUCCAGAAAACCAAACGAUUAAGUCCAGCAAGUACUGCUCCCAGUUAGACCAACUGAAAGCAGCACUCGACGAAAAGCGUCCAGAAUUAGUCAGUGCAUAAUCUUCCAUCAGGAUAACGCAAAACUGCAUGUUUCUUUGAUAACCAGGCAAAAAAGCUUGACUGGGAAGUUCUGAUUCAUCCGCUGUAUUCACCAGAUAUUGCACCUUCAGAUUUCCAUUUAUUUAGGCCUUUACAAAAUUCUCUUAAUAGAAAAAAAUUCAAUUCCCUGGAAGACUGCAGAAGGCACCUGGAACAGUUCUUUUCUCAAAAAGAUAAAACCUUUUGGGAAGAUGGAAUUAUGAAGUUGCCUGAAAAAUGACAGAAGGUAGUAGAACAAAAGAGUGAAUACGUUGCUCAAUAAAGUUCUUGGUGAAAAUGAGUCUUUUAUUUUUACUUAAAAACCGAAGGCACUUUUUGGCCAACCCAAUUCUUGGGUUCUAGGUCCCAGUUCUACUGCAAAUGGUAUCAUGGUCUCUUAUCAUCAAGAGAAGACUUCAGUUCCUGUUCUUGAUGCUGAGCUUUUUAUACCACCAAAGAUCAACAAAAGAACCCAGUGGAAACUGAGCCUUCUAGAGUGACUCUGACCCCAGUUAGGAGGGCUCUGGCAGAGAAGGCUGUUUUCCUUCCACUCCUCACUCCUCGAGGCCUGGCUGUUGGGAAGUGGGAAGAGUAAGACCAUCUACCUUAGCAUUACGGAGAGCUGAUCUGUACAGCAGACCUCAGCAGACACCAAUUCUAUUUUAUUUUGCAUAUAAUUUUAAUCAUUAAGCAAGACUUUAAGCUUUAACCCAUAUAGCACCAUUUUGUAAAAAUUACUGUUCUUUUACUUAGUGCUUAUUGAAAGCAUAUUUCUGGUAUUUAUGGUAAUCAGGACAUUGGGUUUCAUUCCCAGCUACAGGUUGGAAUCAUACUGGAACUGUAGACAAAUCACAGAAUUGAUUUGUGCCUCAGUUAAUUGGGAAUGUUUCGUGGCUGCUACCUCAAAAGUGUGAAGAAAAGUAAAGUAAUGUUUUUAAACUGUU